GCAGAUAUGCUAGAGCAAUCCUCAGGUGGUCUUUCUGGCAAUUGGGCCAGGCACAGGAACUCAGAAAUGCUGGUUCUGGAUAAU